rnacentral:tRNA from 1 species
GGAGAGGUACCGAAGUGGCCAUAACGGCGCCGACUCGAAAUCGGAUGGGCGGUAACACGCCACGUGGGUUCGAAUCCCACCCUCUCCGCCA